rnacentral:rRNA from 1 species
GCCAGACUCCUACGGGAGGCAGCAGUGGGGGAUAUUGCACAAUGGGGGAAACCCUGAUGCAGCGAUGCCGCGUGAGUGAAGACGGCCUUCGGGUUGUAAAGCUCUGUCGCAGAGGACGAAAAUGACGGUACUCUGCAAGAAAGCUCCGGCUAACUCCGUGCCAGCAGCCGCGGUAAUACGGAGGAUGCGAGCGUUAUCCGGAUUUAUUGGGUUUAAAGGGUGCGUAGGCGGACGCUUAAGUCAGCGGUAAAAUGGCGGGGCUCAACCUCGUCGAGCCGUUGAAACUGGGUGCCUUGAGUGGGCGAGAAGUACGCGGAAUGCGUGGUGUAGCGGUGAAAUGCAUAGAUAUCACGCAGAACUCCGAUUGCGAAGGCAGCGUACCGGCGCCCAACUGACGCUGAAGCACGAAGGCGUGGGUAUCGAACAGGAUUAGAUACCCUCGUAGA